AUUCCAAAAUCCAAAUCCUAUAAAACCUAUUCAAAGGUUUUUGCACCUGAAAAAUGGAGCACAUGAAGCUCUAAAAUGUGGGAGUUAAGGCCCCUAUUAGGGGGGUCUUAAAGUCAAUCAGAGAACUUGAAUUGUUGGGAAUCUUUUUUAACUUGGGUCUUAUAGAAUG